UACGGGGGGGAGCAAGCGUUGUUCGGAAUUACUGGGCGUAAAGGGCUCGUAGGCGGCCAACUAAGUCAUACGUGAAAUCCCUCGGCUUAACCGGAGAACUGCGUCUGAUACUGGAUGGCUUGAGUUCGGGAGAGGGAUGCGGAAUUCCAGGUGUAGCGGUGAAAUGCGUAGAUAUCUGGAGGAACACCGGUGGCGAAGGCGGCAUCCUGGACCGGUAUUGACGCUGAGGCGCGAAAGCCAGGGGAGCAAACGGG
rnacentral:rRNA from 1 species